GGCUGCAGUCAUUAAGGCAGGUGUUUCUAGAGAGCAUGAAAUCCUGGCUGAAAUAUGAGAUGUUUUUUCUUUCAUUCGCAAAAUGGAGCCCAGAAGAGUGAUGGAUCCGAUGCUUGUCUCUCGUGUUAGGAUUUUCUAUAUAAUGUCACUGCUUGCUCGAUCACCAGAGCUACAAUCAAUUAAGGUUUCUCCGGUUGAGCGCUUUCUUGAGAAGCCAAAUAAUGGACGUAGUAGAAGCUCUAGCCGUGGUAGCAGCCUUGGAAGAUCUCCAGUUCAUUACGAUUCUAGUUCAAGGAAUAUGCUGGUUGGGGACCAAAUUUAAGGUUCAAAGUAAAUAUAAAACCAGAAAAGAAGUCAAAGUUGUCAUCAGUAGUUCUGAAGAUACGUGGAAUUGAUCAAGAGACCUGGCGACAGCAUAUAGCAGGUGGAAAGCUCAAGGAAAUAACCGAAGAAGCAAAAAUUUAUUCAAUUGGAAAAAAGGCUCUUGCGGCUCUUUUUGUUCAUACCCUGCUGGCGCGCUCCAGCGUCAAAUUCGAAAUUGGCUUGUAGAGAACUUCGAUUUCCUUUCCAUUGCUGAUGACAUGGCUGCAGGAGCAACUGGUCAGCUGGAAAUUCUCUCUACAGCAAUAAUGGAUGGUUGGAUGGCUGGACUUGGUGCAGCCCAGCCUCCGACUACCGAUGCUCUUGGACAGCUGUCUGAAUAUGCCAGAUAUCUUUAUACUUCACAGCUGCAACAUUUGUAGGAUAUUGCUGGUACUUUGGCGACUGAAGCAGCGGAAGACUCUGCUCAAGUAGCUAAGCUAAGUUCAACUCUUGAAUAUUGUUGAUCACAAGAGAAGAAAGGUUUGUAUCAUAGCGCGCUGGCUCUCUUUAUCUUGGUUGCCU